rnacentral:rRNA from 1 species
GAUUAACGCUGGCGGCGUGCAUAACACAUUCAAGUCGAACGGACAUUUGCGGGGCUUGCUCCAAGAAUGUUAGUGGCGGACGGGUGAGUAACGCGUGAGCAACCUGCCCUUUUGUGGGGGAUAACGUCUGGAAACGGACGCCAAUACCGCAUAACCCAAUAGUAUCGCAUGGUACAGUUGGCAAAGAUUUAUUGCAAAAGGAUGGGCUCGCGUCUGAUUAGAUAGUUGGUGAGGUAACGGCUCACCAAGUCGACGAUCAGUAGCCGGACUGAGAGGUUGAACGGCCACAUUGGAACUGAGAUACGGUCCAG